rnacentral:misc_RNA from 1 species
GAUGAAGAACGUAGCGAAAUGCGAUACGUAAUGUGAAUUGCAGAAUUCAGUGAAUCAUCGAAUCUUUGAACGCAUAUUGCGCUCUCUGGUAUUCCGGAGAGCAUGCUCGUUUGAGUAUCAGUAAACACCUCAACUUCCAUAUCUUUUUUGAAAUGGGAGUUGGACUUGAGUGAUCCCAACGCUUUUCCUCACCGAAAAGUGGCGGGUUACUUGAAAUGCAGGUGCAGCUGGACUUUUCUCUGAGCUAUAAGCAUAUCUAUUUAGUCUGCCUAAAAACAGAUUAUUACCUUUGCUGCAGCUAACAUAAAGGAGAUUAGUUCUUGUGCUGACUGAUGCAGGAUUCACAAAGACAGGCUUCGGCCGACUUUGUAAACUCGAUCUCAAAUCAAGUAAGACUACCCGCUGAACUUAAGCAUAUCAAUAAGCGGAGGA